UACAGAGGUCCCGAGCGUUGUUCGGAUUCAUUGGGCGUAAAGGGUGCGUAGGCGGCUUCCUAAGUUUGAUGUGAAAUCCUGGGGGCUCAACCCUGGAACUGCAUUGAAUACUGGGAGGCUAGAGUACUGGAGAGGAAACUGGAAUUUACGGUGUAGCAGUGAAAAUGCGUAGAGAUCGUAAGGAAGACCAGUGGCGAAGGCGAGUUUCUGGACAGUUACUGA
rnacentral:rRNA from 1 species